UACGUAGGGUGCGAGCGUUGUCCGGAAUUAUUGGGCGUAAAGAGCUCGUAGGCGGUCUGUCGCGUCGGAUGUGAAAACUCGGGGCUCAACCCCGAGCCUGCAUUCGAUACGGGCAGACUAGAGUUCGGUAGGGGAGACUGGAAUUCCUGGUGUAGCGGUGAAAUGCGCAGAUAUCAGGAGGAACACCAAUGGCGAAGGCAGCUCACUGGGACGGUAUUGACGCUGAGACGCGAAAGCGUGGGGAGCAAACAGG
rnacentral:rRNA from 1 species